rnacentral:rRNA from 1 species
UGGGGAAUAUUGGACAAUGGGCGAAAGCCUGAUCCAGCCAUGCCGCGUGAGUGAUGAAGGCCCUAGGGUUGUAAAGCUCUUUCAACGGUGAAGAUAAUGACGGUGACCGUAGAAGAAGCCCCGGCUAACUUCGUGCCAGCAGCCGCGGUAAUACGAAGGGGGCUAGCGUUGUUUGGAAUUACUGGGCGUAAAGCGCACGUAGGCGGACAUUUAAGUCAGGGGUGAAAUCCCGGGGCUCAACCCCGGAACUGCCUUUGAUACUGGGUGUCUAGAGUCCGGAAGAGGUGAGUGGAAUUCCGAGUGUAGAGGUGAAAUUCGUAGAUAUUCGGAGGAACACCAGUGGCGAAGGCGGCUCACUGGUCCGGUACUGACGCUGAGGUGCGAAAGCGUGGGGAGCAAACA